rnacentral:rRNA from 1 species
AUUGAACGCUGGCGGAAUGCUUUACACAUGCAAGUCGAACGAUGAACCUUAGCUUGCUAAGGGGAUUAGUGGCGAACGGGUGUGUAAUGUAUCGGAACGUAUCCAAUAAUGGGGGAUAACUAUUCGAAAGAUUAGCUAAUACCGCAUACGUCCUACGGGAGAAAGCUAGGGACCUUCGGGCCGUGCGUUAAUGGCGCGGCCGAUAUCUGAUUAUAUAGUUGGUGGGGUAAAGGCUCACCAAGGAGACGAUCAGUAGCUGGUCUGAGUGGACGACCAGCCACACUGGAACUGAGACACGGUCCAGACUCCUACGGGAGGCAGCAGUGGGGAAUUUUGGACAAUGGGCGAAAGCCUGAUCCAGCCAUUCCGCGUGAGUGAAGAAGGCCUUCGGGUUGCAAAGCUCUUCCGCAAGGGAAGAAAACUUAAGCUCUAACAUAGAUUGAGGUUGACGGUACCUUGAUAAGAAGCACCGGCUAACUACGUGCCAGCAGCCGCCGUAA